AGAAGUAAUGGUGGAAAAUUGAAUUUUUGGUGAGUGGGUGAAUGAGAAAGUGAGGAAAUCUCUCUAAAAUGCUCUUGAAAGUGAAAGAAGAGUGUUAGGGCUUAGGGAGACCGCUCAGGCGAAAUACAAAGAAGAGUUUCAAAGUGAAAAACUUGGAAAACCGCUCAGCUUUUAAGAAAAGCCAAGACCAUCAGCGCCGCAACCGCUCAGCGGUAAAAUGGAUCGCUCAGCGGUCUGCGCCUGAUUUCACUUCUUCUUCAUUUUGCUUUCUUUUGAGUAAUCUUUCCUUCUAGCACUUAAUUUCCACCUUCAAUUUUCAAAUAUAUACCUUG
rnacentral:lncRNA from 1 species